UACGUAGGGACCGAGCGUUGUCCGGAAUCAUUGGGCGUAAAGAGCGUGUAGGCGGCCUUUUAAGUCCUGCGUGAAAUCCUGCGGCUCAACCGCAGACGGUCGUGGGAAACUGGAAGGCUAGAGUGCGGGAGAGGAGAGUGGAAUUCCCGGUGUAGCGGUGAAAUGCGCAGAUAUCGGGAAGAACACCCGUGGCGAAGGCGGCUCUCUGGACCGCAACUGACGCUGAGACGCGAAAGCGUGGGGAGCAAACAGG
rnacentral:rRNA from 1 species